rnacentral:rRNA from 1 species
UGCCAGACUCCUACGGGAGGCAGCAGUGGGGAAUAUUGGGCAAUGGGCGCAAGCCUGACCCAGCAACGCCGCGUGAAGGAAGAAGGCUUUCGGGUUGUAAACUUCUUUUCUCAGGGACGAAGCAAGUGACGGUACCUGAGGAAUAAGCCACGGCUAACUACGUGCCAGCAGCCGCGGUAAUACGUAGGUGGCAAGCGUUAUCCGGAUUUAUUGGGUUUAAAGGGUGCGUAGGCGGACUGUCAAGUCAGCGGUAAAAGGCGGGGCCCCACCCCCCGCCCGCCGUUGAAACUGACGGUCUUGAGUGGGCGAGAAGUAUGCGGAAUGCGUGGUGUAGCGGUGAAAUGCAUAGAUAUCACGCAGAACUCCGAUUGCGAAGGCAGCAUACCGGCGCCCAACUGACGCUGAAGCACGAAAGCGUGGGUAUCGAACAGGAUUAGAUACCCCGGUAG